CCGCAUUGUCGACACGAGUUGUUGCUGGCCCUCAAACGGGGCACGUGCACGCUCUGUUCGCAUCCACUCACACCUGUGCACCUCUUGUAGUCCUGCGGUUGGAGAGGCACCCGCCUUUCCUUCUGGAGCUCUACGUCUUUACGCACACACCGUAUCAUGGUCUUAUGGAAUGCACGCAGUGUUUAACGCAAUACAGUA
rnacentral:misc_RNA from 1 species